CGUAGGGUGCGAGCGUUAAUCGGAAUUACUGGGCGUAAAGGGUUCGUAGGUGGUUUAUUAAGUUAUUUGUAAAAUCCCUGGGCUUAACCUGGGCAGGUCAGAUAAUACUGGUAGACUCGAGUAUGGGAGAGGGUAGUGGAAUUUCCGGUGUAGCGGUGAAAUGCGUAGAGAUCGGAAGGAACACCAGUGGCGAAGGCGGCUACCUGGCCUAAUACUGACACUGAGGAACGAAAGCGUGGGGAGCAAACAGGAUUAGAUACCCUGGUAGUCCACGCCGUAAACGAUGUCAACUAGCUGUUGGUCAUAUUGAUAUGAUUAGUGGCGCAGCAAACGCGAUAAGUUGACCGCCUGGGGAGUACGGUCGCAAGAUUA
rnacentral:rRNA from 1 species